rnacentral:rRNA from 1 species
GAGUUAAACUUAAAACUUAAAAGACUUGACGGUGCUUCACCACACCCUAGAGGAGCCUGUCCAAUAACCGACGACCCACGAUUAACCCAGCCCCCCCUUGCCUACAGUCUAUAUACCGCCGUCGCCAGCCUACCUUGUGAAAGAAAUAAAGUAGGCCAAACAGUACCCACACUAAAACGACAGGUCGAGGUGUAACUCAUGAGGCGGACCCAGAUGGGCUACACUCUCACGCCCGAGAAUACGGAAAACACUACGAAAUUAGUCUUUAAAGGUGGAUUUAGCAGUAAGCUGGAAAUAAAACACCCGACUGAACAUAACGCAAUGAAGUGCGUACACA